rnacentral:rRNA from 1 species
UACGUAGGGUCCAAGCGUUGUCCGGAUUUAUUGGGCGUAAAGAGCUCGUAGGCGGCUCAGUAAGUCGGAUGUGAAAACUCGGGGCUCAACCCCGAGACGCCAUCCGAUACUGCUGUGGCUUGAGUCUGGUAGGGGAACACGGAAUUCCUGGUGUAGCGGUGAAAUGCGCAGAUAUCAGGAGGAACACCGAUGGCGAAGGCAAUCCCCUGGACCUGUACUGACGCUCAUGCACGAAAGCGUGGGGAGCAAACAGG